rnacentral:tRNA from 1 species
CAGAAAGUAGUUUAUUCGAAAAUGCCGGCUUUGGGAGCUGGAGAGGAAGGUUUAAGUCCUUUCUUUCUGA